rnacentral:rRNA from 1 species
CUGUCCAACGUUAAUCGGGGCAGGGUGAGUCGACCCCUAAGGCGAGGCCGAAAGGCGUAGUCGAUGGGAAACAGGUUAAUAUUCCUGUACUUGGUGUUACUGCGAAGGGGGGACGGAGAAGGCUAUGUUGGCCGGGCGACGGUUGUCCCGGUUUAAGCGUGUAGGCUGGUUUUCCAGGCAAAUCCGGAAAAUCAAGGCUGAGGCGUGAUGACGAGGCACUACGGUGCUGAAGCAACAAAUGCCCUGCUUCCAGGAAAAGCCUCUAAGCAUCAGGUAACAUCAAAUCGUACCCCAAACCGACACAGGUGGUCAGGUAGAGAAUACCAAGGCGCUUGAGAGAACUCGGGUGAAGGAACUAGGCAAAAUGGUGCCGUAACUUCGGGAGAAGGCACGCUGAUAUGUAGGUGAAGUCCCUCGCGGAUGGAGCUGAAAUCAGUCGAAGAUACCAGCUGGCUGCAACUGUUUAUUAAAAACACAGCACUGUGCAAACACGAAAGUGGACGUAUACGGUGUGACGCCUGCCCGGUGCCGGAA